GAUCAUGAAAUCGCUGCGUGGACGGACACGCGUGUGCCUCCGCUUCGCCUUCUCAGCACCUGAAGCCAAGAUUCACAUUGAUAUAGCACAAUGGAGAUGGAGAGAAGAAUGGAAACAGCGAAAUGGCGUGGAGAAAAUGCAUUGUAGGCCCUUUCCAUCUACCAGUUCUUUAAUCCAGAUCUCCUUGUCCAAUUAUAUGAAGAUCCAGCUCUCUUGAGAAAGGUCUAAAGCUGGAAAUGCUGAAGCAUAAGAGAAAAAGAGGACAAGAAAAGCAGCAAAAUGGAUAGAUUCAGCUAUAAUGGGGGAUAAGUGCACAUUUGGAAGAUUUGAAAUAACAGAUUAAGGACAGAUCAUCACGGAGAAAAUCCAUCUAUAUUGUUGUUAUGAUUUGACAAUGACCUGAUGGCAUAUAAUCAAUAAUCAAUCAUUUUUUCUUAAGCCACAUUUUCCCAGAGGAAUGGCUAAGGCUUUUGUUCUUUGUUGGGCUACAUGGAGACUUAUUCCACAUGGCACAUUAGUUCUAUUGUUAGAACUGCCUCUUAUCUAAGAAGAGUGUUUAUCUGUCCAAGAGAAUGCAUAUUUAAAAUUCACAUUCACUGCCUAUGGGCUGGGUACUGGCUAUAAAUAUCUAAGUACAUUUUUCCAGCCAGUGUUUCCAACAAUAUUUCUUAAGAGAUGAGCAGGCUCUGGAAAUUUCCACAGAAACAUAACACAAAUGUGAUUAUAUCCUAUUCUGUGCCAAUAGUAAAACACCCAGUAUGGCCAUUGUUUUUGUCAAGAUACAGUAGAAAUUAGAAAAUGUAGCAGAGUUAUCAAAGCAGACAAUUGAUUCCUCCCGCCCCACAAAUGCUUGUGUUAUCACCAUGCCUUGCAAUUUUGCAACUUCUCUUAUCUCUUUAUUACAAAGCAUCAUGGUCUUAGCAGGACACGCUGCCCUUUCUGUGUGUAAUUUUUUUUUACCAAUGAAUCUUAAAGCAACUAAGCUAUGUUGGUGUAAAUUACCUUAAAUGAUACAUACCGUCAUAUGCAUUUAGUAUAUACUCAUAACUUUACAUGACAAGGUAACCAGACAGCUUUUGAAGAGACAUUUUAAGCAUACUCCCAUAUCAGGAACAUUUUCCAGAUUUCAAGAUCCCCAGAUGGCUGAUAGUAGUAAUAUUAGCAGGCUCAAACAAGUCAUAAUAUGGAUCAUAGUUCAUUGUAUAUAGGAAUAGUAUUUGGGAUUACAAAACUCCAGUUGGCCACUAGAUUAGAGGAAAGACCUACCUUAUUAAUGUGUCUGUUGCUAUAAUAUAAUGAUCAUUAACAUUUUUGCAACCCAGUUAAAUUGUGCCUGGUAUUAAUUAAUAAUACCAGUUUUAUAGAGAGACAAUUUUAUGUAGUAGUUAAAGGCAUGAGGGUAGAAACUGGGAGAGAGUGAGUUCUAGUCCUGCCUUAGCC